AUUGAACGCUGGCGGAAUGCUUUACACAUGCAAGUCGAACGGCAGCACGGACUUCGGUCUGGUGGCGAGUGGCGAACGGGUGAGUAAUGUAUCGGAACGUGCCCAGUCGUGGGGGAUAACGUAGUGAAAAUUACGCUAAUACCGCAUACGAUCUAUGGAUGAAAGCGGGGGAUCGCAAGACCUCGCGCGAUUGGAGCGGCCGAUAUCAGGUUAGGUAGUUGGUGGGGUAAAGGCCCACCAAGCCAACGAUCUGUAGCUGCUCUGAGAGGACGACACGCGACACUGGAACUGAGACACAGUGCAGACUCCUACGGGAGGCAGCAGUGGGGAAUUUUGGACAAUGGGCGAAAGCCUGGUCCAGCCAUACCGCGUGCAGGAUGAAGGGCCUCGGGUUGUAAACUGCUGUUGUACGGAGCGAAAAGGUUUCUACUAAUACUAGGAGCUCAUGACGGUACUGUAAGAAUAAGCACCGGCUAACUACGUGCCAGCAGCCGCGGUAA
rnacentral:rRNA from 1 species